rnacentral:lncRNA from 1 species
CUUUAGCAUAUGGUAUCCCAGCUGUGCCUGAGCAGUGUUAUGGGGGAAGUCUUGUUGAGACAGGCCAGUGUGAUGUAGGAAAGCAGGCUACUAGUUGUGUCUCAGGAGUUGAGAGAGCCCAGGUGACCCAGCUUGCCUCCUAGCUAGAUGUGCUAUGGGAUCAGUUAUCUCCCUUAGUGAAAGUGUAAUGACUUAUCUAGAUAAAGCCUGAUAUUUUAACAGUGAUCAUGAUACCAUAUCUGCUCAACUGGUACAAUCUGCCAACAUAAAAACUCAAGUGGUGUCCAAGAAGAAGAAAAACCCCUUUGAACAAACCUGAAAAUUUCUCAUGCUGUAUCUCAUGCCGGGAUAACAGGCUCUCUGAAAACUCUAGAACUGAAAAGUGCCCAGUUCUUUCUCAUCUGAGGAUAAGCUUUGUUGGAUAAAAAACAUAUUGUGCAAUUCAUGAGAAUCUUUCUGAUUGGAUAAUGAAAUAAAGUGAUUUUCAAUCAAGGGACUGUGUUUUUA